rnacentral:rRNA from 1 species
GUCUACAGCCAUGCCACUCUGAACAUGCCCAAUCUCGUCUGAUCUCGGAAGUUAAGCAGGGUCAGCCUGGUUAGUACUUGGAUGGGAGACCAUCUAGGAAUAUCAGGUGCUGUAGGCA